GGAACUUAAGAGAGCUUAACGGGAGGAUCACUCAUCUUGGAAACAACAAUCUAGAAUGUCCUGGUUCUGAAAGUGGAUCAGUUAGGUUUCUUUCAUGCUACAUGAAUGGGCUUUUAUGCAGAGACAACAGAUUUCCAGUACACAAGACAGGAUUCAUGCUGCUUCCUUUUUUCCACUGUCCCAGGAAAAGAGAGCCCAUAAAGACAUUGUCCUGGAACUCUUUCUUGUGGUACAGAGCAAUGUUUGACUUCCCAAGGAACUCCUAAGAGUGGAACUCCUUAGCUCAAAGCUGGUAAGGACUUCUGAUGUUCAGCUGACUGUAUCUGUAACUCGAAGCAUCUCCAGGACACCGCAUCCGACCUACCACAUUAUGUGGAAUUGGCCUGCAUCAUUAUAAUAGUCUUUAUCGCUCCAGGAGCACUGGAAGACCAUGUUUCACCGUGAUAUUAUCCACCUCUGAUUUUAGUUUAAAUCGUAAAACGUGGCUUCAAUGUCCCUUUGCGUCCUCCAAAUGCAAAACAGAUCCACUGUUUGCC
rnacentral:lncRNA from 1 species